UAUACAGUAAUAUAUGAAUUUUAAUAUUAAGUUAGUGUUGUUCCAAAAAAACACACACAUGAUUAUUUAUAGUUAAUAACUAUAAUGCCAUUUGGUCUCUGGUGGAGAGUUGUGUAAUAGGCACCCAUACCACAUCUUCUUAUUUUCACAUGGAACGCAGGAAGCCACUUUGAAAUCUCCAAUACGGGUACAUGGGAGACACAAAAAGUGUAAAUUUAAGAGAAAUUCUGGCUUAAGACUCUUUAAGAUUACCCCUUUUUGAAGGUUCUUCAUGUUUGAAUGGAAUAGCUCUAAGUAUAUUUUAUGAUAUAUAGUUUUUAUACAAAAUACUGAAUUUAAAUCAAAUAUAACACUAUUUACAUAUGAGAAGUUCAGAUUCAAGUAAAAGUGG
rnacentral:lncRNA from 1 species